GUGCCAGCAGCCGCGGUAAUACGAACUGUGCGAACGUUAUUCGGAAUCACUGGGCUUACAGGGUGCGUAGGCGGCUUGUUAAGUAGGGUGUGAAAGCCCCCGGCUCAACCGGGGAAUUGCGCCCUAAACUGGCGAGCUGGAGUGAGAUAGGGGUGUGUGGAACUUCCGGUGGAGCGGUGAAAUGUGUUGAUAUCGGAAGGAACGCCGGUGGCGAAAGCGACACACUGGAUCUUGUCUGACGCUGAGGCACGAAAGCCAGGGGAGCGAACGGGAUUAGAUACCCCCGUAGUCC
rnacentral:rRNA from 1 species